CCCUUAGAUGUUCUGGGCCGCACGCGCGCUACACUGAAUGGAUCAACGUGUUUUCCCUUCCCGAGAGGGACGGGUAACCCGCUGAACCCCAUUCGUGGUAGGGAUCGGAGCUUGCAAUUGUUCUCCGUGAACCAGGAAUUCCCAGUAAGCGCAAGUCAUCAACUUGCAUUGAUUACGUCCCUGCCCUUUGUACACACCGCCCGUCGCACCUACCGAUUGAAUGGUCCGGUGAAGCCUCCGGAUUGGCGCGCACCUCGGUGCCGCCGAGAAGUUGGCUAAACCUUACCAUUUAGAGGAAGGUGAAGUCGUAACA
rnacentral:rRNA from 1 species